GAUGAACGCUGGCGGCGUGCCUAAUACAUGCAAGCCGAGCGAACAGAUAAGGAGCUUGCUCCUUUGACGUUAGCGGCGGACGGGUGAGUAACACGUGGGUAACCUACCUAUAAGACUGGAAUAACUCCGGGAAACCGGGGCUAAUGCCGGAUAACAUUUAGAACCGCAUGGUUCUAAAGUGAAAGAUGGUUUUGCUAUCACUUAUAGAUGGACCCGCGCCGUAUUAGCUAGUUGGUAAGGUAACGGCUUACCAAGGCAACGAUACGUAGCCGACCUGAGAGGGUGAUCGGCCACACUGGAACUGAGACACGGUCCAGACUCCUACGGGAGGCAGCAGUAGGGAAUCUUCCGCAAUGGGCGAAAGCCUGACGGAGCAACGCCGCGUGAGUGAUGAAGGUCUUCGGAUCGUAAAACUCUGUUAUUAGGGAAGAACAAAUGUGUAAGUAACUGUGCACGUCUUGACGGUACCUAAUCAGAAAGCCACGGCUAACUACGUG
rnacentral:rRNA from 1 species